AAAUGAAAAUAAAAACUCAACAUCGUCGCCACUACUCAAUGUGUUGUUUUGUUUUUCUGAUAAAUUUAUAGAAAAAAAAUGACAAAACAAAAACAAUAUAUGUAUGUGAAAAAGAAGCAAUCCGAAAAUGAAGAAAACAACAAAUUCUGAUUAUAAAAUAUGAUCGAAAUUCUCAAAAUCUAGAAAAACAAAGAAUGUUUAUGAAUGAUCUAUUUUAGCAAAGAUGAAGAAAUCUUGAGAUCUUGAGUGAGAAAGAAAUUAAGCAUACAAAGAUUAACUAUAACAAUAAUAAAAAAUAAAUAAAUUAUGGAACAGGCUGCCAAACAGUCGAAGGCGCUCCUACUUUCAUACAUUCGUUUAUCGUUGGCGGCAGGUCUUGUUGUUUUGCAACUACACCACUGAGCCAAGAGUUGGAUAGUUAUUGUCACCGUGUAUAAAACAAGUGCAGACCCUGGAGAAAGUUUAAUUUACUCGUCUCUCGCAAACUCAUACAAACAAUUUAGUAAGAUGAAAUUUCUCUCCUUUCCCUAACGAUAUCGACCAAUCUUCUAUUUAAGUAAAUUUUCUGUGUCCCCAAACAAACAAAAGAAAAAAAAGAGAAGUGAUAACAAAUAUAAAUAAAAAAAACAACAAAUCCAAUCUAAACUUGCGAGGUCACACCAAAAAAGAAAAACAAAAAAUUGUCUUAAAUGUUUGUGAAUAUUAAACUAAUUUUCUUAAAUAAACAAAAGAGUAAAAUAAACGGUAAUAAUAGUGUUUAUGCCAUGCAGCAACGAAAAAAAUGAAACAAAUAAAAAUUCAAAUUUCUUAUCACUACUGCUGCUAGUGCCUGCUGCUGCUUAAGAAGAAGCGAGAGUUUAUUAAAACAAGAACAGCUAAGACAAGGGCUUUCUUCACUGUGGAUUUGGUGUCAUUUUGAAUUCUCUUCUAAAGUGUGAUAUUCGCAUUGAAGUUUCUAUGGUUGGUGUCGAUCGACUAUACGUCUAUUCAAAAACUCUCGAAACGUCUUCCCAACAAACAAAAAGGUACGUAUCGUCGAUAUGUGUAUGUAGUAUAUGGUACAUUUAUUUGUACGUUCAUAAUACAAUGGAACACAUGCGUGUCUAUUUCUAUUUUCAAUGAUAAUUCUUAUUCAAAUAUGCAAAAUCAUUAGACCGUAAUUAUUUGCAUUGUAGUGCUAAAAGUCUACGAAAAACAAGCACAAUAAUAUAUCAUGGAAAAAUCUAACAAAGAUAUAAAAAAAGGUUGAAAGAAUUUCACUUAACCGAAAUUUGCUAAAAUUCACAUAUGGAAGUGCUUUUGUUUGGGGGUUAUGUUUUCGGCUUUGUUUGAGUUGGUCGGCUGGUCGGUGAUUUGAUUGUGUUAUCAUUGUUUUCCGCAAACGUGGAGGUGCUACGUGCCCAUUCGCGAGUUAUAUGCAUAAUAGGCUUAUCUAUAUCUCUCUCUCUCGCUCAGAGGGAUGACGGCAUGGACCAUAAAAAUACAUUUUGUUGUAGUGAUAAAGCUUUAUCAAAAUCUUGCUUUUGCUCACUCUCUUUCUCAUUCAGCCUAUCUAAUUUAUAGUCUCACUCUCUUGGCAUACGAGUAUUCUAGUGUUUUAAAUUAUACAUACAUAUGUGUAUGCAAAUACUUGUUACUGAGCGAUAAGCUUCAAUUAUUGUGUAGGGUAUAUAUAAGCUAUAACUCACUUUCACUCUCCCUCUUUCUAUCUGUCCUUCCCCUUCUGGUUCUCUCUUUAACUGAUUACUAGAGAUACGUUGGCAACAAUGUAAUCAUGUCACCUUAUUUAUAGCAGUAAUUUUUUUAGUUUUUAUUAUUUUUAUUAUACUGUACAUACAUUGUAAAGUAGUAAACAAGAGAUUUGUAGCACGGUUUGACGUAUUAAAGGGACAUAUUUAGUAUAUUUGCAUUACAGAAAAGUUAUGUAGCAGUUUUUGUAUUGUUAUCAUUGGCACUGUUAUCAAACAAAAGCAGUCGCACCGAAUCUUAGGUACUCAACAAUUUUGCUCUGCUUAAAUAGCUCAGUUUUAUGUUUAGAACUAGACUCUGAGGGGCAUGGAAAAUGGUAUGAAUAUUACAUUAAAUAAGUACAAUAAACAGCUGAAUAGUUAUAUAAGCUGUGUUUUAUUUAAAGUACUAUACAGUGCAGUGCCGUGAAAUUGGUAUGAAAAUGACAUCUAUCCAGGACAACGAAUUUCUGGAUAAAUUACCAGUGCAGGAGCCGAAUUACCGCAUACGUGAUCGAAAAUGGUUUCGUAUGGAAUGAAAGUUCAUCUCGUAUUUAAUGGAUGUUAUACCACUUUUAUACACACUUCACUUUAAUAUAACAUUUUUUUAUGAAUCAUGAUCGAUUUAAACAUUUGGGUUUUUAAUAUCAAAAAUUCCUUUUCAAUAAAGAAAUACAUAAUUCACAAUAGAGAGAUUUCUAACGAUUUUACUCUUUCACUCAUGAGGUAAUUCGGGCUAAUGUAGAACAUUCUCAGAAAUGUUCUCUUGUGAAUGGUAAAAUAAAAUCAAAACCAAUUAUUUAUAAAAUUGGGUGCACAUAUUUUAAUAAAUUUUAUUUGACUUCUAAACCCACACAUGUUUUGCAAAUUUUAUUUGUAAGUUUUACAAAUAUAUUCACUUUUUUCCUCGCAUUGCUUUGAUAGGUUGGAAAAUGGCUUUACCACCUCAUGGCAAACAGACUUGAACUGGAAACUUUUUUUGCGUUUUAGAUUUGCUCUUCACGGCAUGUCUAUCCAGUAAAUUGCAAAUUUUGCCAUGAACGUUCCAUUAAGGAACAGGGGGUAAACUUUUCAUAUAUCAAUGGGUGCAGUCCUUUUCAAGUUUAAGCUCAAUGUUAGGUGGGCUCCUUUUUAUAGCCGAGUCCAAACGGCGGACUACAGUGCGACACCUCUUUCGAGAGAAGUUUUUCCAUGGCAUAGUACCUUACAAAUUUUGCCAGCAUUCGGAGGGGUAAACCACCGCUGAACAUUUUUAUACCCUCCAUCAUAGGAUGGGGGCAUCCUAAUUUUGUCAUUCUGUUUGUAACACCUCGAAAUAGGCGUCUGAGACCCCAUAAAUUAUAUAUAUUCUUGAUCGUCAUGUCAUUUUAAGUCGAUCAAGCCAGGUCCAUCCGUCCGUCCGUCUGUCUAUCGAAGCACACUAACUUUCGAAGGAGUAAAGCUAGCCGCUUGAAAUUUUGCACAAAUACUUUUUAUUAGUGCAGGUCGGUUGGGAUUGUAAAUGGGCCAAAUCGGUCCAUGGUUUGAUAUAGCUGCCAUAUAAACCGAUAUUGGGUCUCACCUUCUUGAGCCUCUAAAGGGCGCAAUUCUCCUCCGAUUUUGCACAAAUACUUUUUAUUAGUGCAGGUCGGUUGGGAUUGUAAAUGGGCCAAAUCGGUCCAUGGUUUGAUAUAGCUGCCAUAUGAACCGAUAUUGGGUCUCACCUUCUUGAGCCUCUAAAGGGCGCAAUUCUCCUCCGAUUUGACUGAAAAUUUGCACGUAGUGUUUUGGUAUCACUUCCAACAACUGUUUUUAGUAUGAUUCAAAUCGCUUCAUAAUUUGGUAUAACUGCCAUAUAAACCGAUCUAGGAUCUUGACUUCUUGAGCCCCUAGAGGGCGCAACUCUCAUCCGAUUUGGAAGAAAUUUUGUACAACGGCUUACGUGUCUAAUAUGGUCUGAAUCGAUCAAUAGGUUGAUACUGCACCCAUAUUAACCGAUCUACCGAUUUUGCUUCCUGAGCCCCUACAAGGCGCAAUUCUUAUCCGAAUGAUAAGAAUUCAGCAUUCAUAUAUGGUCCGAAUCGGACUAUAACUUGAUAUAGCUCCAAUAGCACAAGAGUUCUUAAUCAAUAUUCUUUGUUUACCUAAAAAGAGAUUCUGCGCAUAGAACUCGACAAAUGCGAUCCAUGGUGGAGGGUAUAUAAGAUUCGGCCCGGCCGAGCUUAGCACGAUCUUACUUGUUUCUUAUGGUCUCGCGAGGAUUCAAAUCCAGGCGUUCAGCGUCGUAGGCAGACAUGCUGACUACGAUGGCCUCCCAGUACUAAAAUAAAAAACAGGAAUAAUGCAGGUUUAUGUAGUUCAUCGGUCUUCAGGAUUGCCAUGGUAUGGUGGAUAUGUGUUGCCAGCAGAAGAAAUACCUCUAUUGUGAAUGAAAAAGUAAAGUUUACUUAUCUUGUUUUCAUUUUUAAAAAAGAGAAAGCUUUUUGGAUUGUGCCGUAUAGGCUCGAAAACAGCUUAAUCGAUUUUUUUUUUAAUUUUUACAGAUUAGGUGGAUGCUAACAGCUGUUCGCGUGAGAUCACCUUUUUAAAUCCGCCUUGAUUUUCUUGCUAAAAUUUCAAUAAUUUCUAACCGUCUGUUGAUAAAGACAAAUGGCCUUAUUCUAUAAAGGAAAUCUGUCAAAUAAACCUUUUUCAAAUCUACUUAAAAUGUUGUUUGAACAAACAUUUGCACUUGUUUCAUUCAAAAGAGUUUUUUAAAUAAAAGUUUAUAGCAGCAAUAUGGAAGUAUACCACAUGCAGAUGUUCUAUUUCUAUUGUGGUUUGAUGUGGCGUGGUAUGGUGUGGUGUUAAAUUUUUUUUGUUUACUCCAAAUGUUUAUUUAAAUGUGACCCAUUUACAAAACUUAUUUUGUUUAAAAAAAAAUAAAAAUAAAAAAAACAUACAUGGUCAUUUGACACAUACAAACAUACAUUUAUUUAUGU